AAGCGCCGUAUACGCGAACCGUACGUACGGUGCUGUGAGAGGACGGGGGGAAAACUCCCCCUCCUACUCGAAU
rfam:Eubacterium sp. 68-3-10 unitig_0:quiver, whole genome shotgun sequence.